rnacentral:rRNA from 1 species
GGAUGAACGUUGGCGGCGUGCCUAAUACAUGCAAGUCGAACGGAGACGGUAGCAAUACGGUCUCAGUGGCGAACGGGUGAGUAACGCGUUGGUGACCUGCCCCGAAGUGUGGAAUAACAGAUCGAAAGAGCUGCUAAUACCGCAUAAUAUCCAGAAGAUUAGAUGCUUUUGGAUUAAAGGAUUUAUUCGCUUCGGGAGGGGCCUGCGUCCCAUCAGCUAGUUGGUAAGGUAAAGGCUUACCAAGGCUAUGACGGGUAGGGGACCUGAGAGGGUGGCCCCCCACAAUGGAACUGAAACACGGUCCAUACACCUACGGGUGGCAGCAGUAGGGAAUAUUAGUAAUGGGCGAAAGCCUGAACUAGCAACGCCGCGUGUGCGAAGAAGGCCUUCGGGUUGUAAAGCACUUUUUGAGAGGAUGAGGAAGGACGGUACUCUCAGAAUAAGUCUCGGCUAACUACGUGCCAGCAGCCGCGGUAACACGUAGGAGGCGAACGUUAUCCGGAUUUACUGGGCGUAAAGCGCGUGUAGGUGGUUUGGUAAGUAGGGCGUGAAAGCUCCUGGCUCAACUGGGAGAGGCCGUUCUAAACUGCCGAACUAGAGGAUGGUAGAGGGAGGUGGAAUUCCGGGUGUAGCGGUGGAAUGCGCAGAUAUCCGGAGGAACACCAGUGGCGAAAGCGGCCUCCUGGACCAUUCCUGACACUCAGACGCGAAAGCUAGGGUAGCAAACGGGAUUAGAGACCCCGGUAGUCCUAGCCCUAAACGAUGUAGACUAGGCGUCGGUGGUUUAAACGCCAUCGGUGUCCAAGCUAACGCGAUAAGUCUACCGCCUGGGGACUACGGCCGCAAGGUUAAAACUCAAAGGAAUUGACGGGUCCCCGCACAAGCAGCGGAGCGUGUGGUUUAAUUCGUUGCUACACGAAGAACCUUACCUGGGUUUGACAUAGCAGUGGUAGGGAAGCGAAAGCGGACCGACCCUUCGGGGAGCUGUUACAGGUGUUGCAUGGCUGUCGUCAGCUCGUGUCGUGAGAUGUUAGGUUAAGUCCUGCAACGAGCGCAACCCUCGUCCUUAGUUACCAUCAUUAAGUUGGGGACUCUAAGGAGACUGCCGAUGUAAAUCGGAGGAAGGUAGGGAUGACGUCAAAUCAUCAUGCCCUUUACGUCCUGGGCGACACACGUGCUACAAUGGCCGGUACAGAGAGAAGCAAGACCGCGAGGUGGAGCUAAUCCCAUAAAGCCGGUCUCAGUUCAGAUUGAAGUCUGCAACUCGACUUCAUGAAGUCGGAAUUGCUAGUAAUCGCAGAUCAGCCAUGCUGCGGUGAAUACGUUCCCGGGGCU